UCACCAGAUAAGACAGCUGAAUGAUAGUCGGGCUGAAGACUCUACUUGACUAGCUGAGAGGAGGUGCAUGGCCGUCGUCAGUUCGUACUGUGAAGCAUCCUGUUAAGUCAGGCAACGAGCGAGACCCACGCCAACAGUUGCCGGCUCGUCCUCCGGGAUGGUGGGGACACUGUUGGGACCGCCUCUGCUAAAGAGGAGGAAGGAAUGGGCAACGGUAGGUCAGCAUGCCCCGAAUUAUCUGGGCUACACGCGGGCUACAAUGGGUGGGACAAUGGGUAUCGACACCGAAAGGUGAAGGCAAUCUCCUAAACCCAUCCGUAGUUCGGAUUGUGGGCUGCAACUCGCCCACAUGAAGCUGGAAUCUGUAGUAAUCGUGUCUCAAAAUGGCACGGUGAAUAUGUCCCUGCUCCUU
rnacentral:rRNA from 1 species